rnacentral:lncRNA from 1 species
AGGGAGCUUCUGAUUCUUGAGGACAUUGCUGGUCUCCUGGGGUCAGGACUGAGACGGGGACUCCUGAGGAAUGUGGGCACCCAGAAAUCUAAAGCCCAUUCUCGGAGCCAUCUCCAGAGGCCACCUGAAGCCGUGGGAUGCCAGCUUGGACCGAUUUGAAUAUUUGCCGCCCUUGUUUUGGUUAAUUGUGUGAACAUCAUAUUUCAGAUUCUGUAUAGACUGCAUCGUGUUCACCACCAAAGAGGAACUUUUAAGUGAGUUUGGCUUUGGAGCCCGUCAGCCCCGAGUCCAGGCCUGGCUCCAGCACUUGCGAGCUGUGUGACCUUUGGCAAGUCACUUUGUAUCUCUGUGCCUGCCCUCCCUAAUCUAUCCACAGGGAUCCUAAUCCUUCCUACUUCUUAUUAUAAAAAUUCGGUGAGAUCACGCAUAUACAGCACUCAGCAUGGUGCUUGGCGGAUAGAAGCCAUCCAGUUAAUUAACAUCAUUCCUUCUCAUGUAGAUCUAUUGGCAGAGGGUGAAAACCAUUCAGGCAGGUGGUGUGCCCUCCACUCCCAGCAUGCCCCCUGGCACAUAGUAGGUGCUCAGUCAACUCAUAUUGGACUCAGUUGGAGGAGGAUCAAGUAACUAAGAAGUCCUCCUGAACCUGAAAGUUAUUAAUUCGUGGUGCUAAUGGAGGAGUGGGGAGAGACCAAGACGCAGGUUGGGG